UGGGGAAUUGUUCGCAAUGGGCGCAAGCCUGACGACGCAACGCCGCGUGGGGGAUGAAGGUCUUCGGAUCGUAAACCCCUGUCGAACGGGACGAAAGACCCGCGAUUUAAUACUUCGCGGGGGUGACGGUACCGUUAAAGGAAGCCACGGCUAACUCUGUGCCAGCAGCCGCGGUAAUACAGAGGUGGCAAGCGUUGUUCGGAAUUACUGGGCGUAAAGGGCGCGUAGGCGGCCUUCUAAGUCAGACGUGAAAUCCCCCGGCUUAACCUGGGAACUGCGUCUGAUACUGGGAGGCUUGAGUAUGGGAGAGGGAUGUAGAAUUCCAGGUGUAGCGGUGAAAUGCGUAGAUAUCUGGAGGAAUACCGGUGGCGAAGGCGGCAUCCUGGACCAUUACUGACGCUGAGGCGCGAAAGCUAGGGGAGCAAAC
rnacentral:rRNA from 1 species